AGCAGCCGCGGUAAUUCCAGCUCCAAUAGCGUAUAUUAAAGUUGCUGCAGUUAAAAAGCUCGUAGUUGAAUUUCGGGAUCAUCAUGUCGGUCGUGCCUCGGUACGUACUGGCAUUGUUGGUUUCUCCCUUCUGAAGAACCAUGAUGUCAUUAAUUUGGUGUCUUGGGGAAUCAGGACUGUUACUUUGAAAAAAUUAGAGUGUUUAAAGCAGGCUCGCGCUUGAAUACAUUAGCAUGGAAUAAUGAAAUAGGACGUUUGAUUCUAUUUUGUUGGUUUCUAGGAUCGACGUAAUGAUUAAUAGGGAUAGUUGGGGGCAUUAGUAUUCAAUUGUCAGAGGUGAAAUUCUUGGAUUUAUUGAAGACUAACUACUGCGAAAGCAUUUGCCAAGGAUGUUUCAUUAAUCAAGAACGAAAGUUAGGGAUCGAAGACGAUCAGAUACCGUCGUAGUACUUAACCAUAAACUAUGCCGACUAGGGAUCGGAUGA
rnacentral:rRNA from 1 species